AUUGAACGCUGGCGGAAUGCUUUACACAUGCAAGUCGAGCGGCAGCGCGGGGGCAACCCUGGCGGCGAGCGGCGAACGGGUGAGUAACAUAUCGGAACGUACCCUGUCGUGGGGGAUAACUAUCCGAAAGGAUAGCUAAUACCGCAUACGACCUGAGGGUGAAAGCGGGGGACCGCAAGGCCUCGCGCGAUAGGAGCGGCCGAUAUCGGAUUAGCUAGUUGGUGAGGUAAAGGCUCACCAAGGCGACGAUCCGUAGCGGGUCUGAGAGGACGACCCGCCACACUGGAACUGAGACACGGUCCAGACUCCUACGGGAGGCAGCAGUGGGGAAUUUUGGACAAUGGGGGCAACCCUGAUCCAGCCAUUCCGCGUGAGUGAUGAAGGCCUUCGGGUUGUAAAGCCCUGUCGAGGGGGACGAAGUUCUGACGGUACCCCUCAAGAAAGCACCGGCUAACUCCGUG
rnacentral:rRNA from 1 species